UACGUAGGGACCAAGCGUUGUUCGGAUUUACUGGGCGUAAAGGGCGCGUAGGCGGCGUAACAAGUCACUUGUGAAAUCUCCGGGCUUAACUCGGAGCGGCCAAGUGAUACUGUUGUGCUAGAGUGCGGAAGGGGCUACUGGAAUUCUCGGUGUAGCGGUGAAAUGCGUAGAUAUCGAGAGGAACACCUGCGGCGAAGGCGGGUAGCUGGGCCGACACUGACGCUGAGGCGCGAAAGCCAGGGGAGCGAACGGG
rnacentral:rRNA from 1 species